CUUGGUCAUUUAGAGGAAGUAAAAGUCGUAACAAGGUUUCCGUAGGUGAACCUGCGGAAGGAUCAUUAUUGAAACUAUCGGUAAGGGUUGUUGCUGGCCUCUCGGGGUACGUGCACACCUGAACCUUUAAAUCCACACACACCUGUGAACCCAAUGUAAGGGCCCGUAACAAGGCCCCUACGUCUUAUCACAAACCCUUUGCAUGUUUUCAUAGAAUGUUAUUUAUAUCUUCGCCUUAAAAAAGCGUUGGUAAACCUAUACAACUUUCAACAACGGAUCUCUUGGCUCUCGCAUCGAUGAAGAACGCAGCGAAAUGCGAUAAGUAAUGUGAAUUGCAGAUUUUCAGUGAAUCAUCGAAUCUUUGAACGCACCUUGCGCUCCUUGGUAUUCCGAGGAGCAUGCCUGUUUGAGUGUCAUUAAUUUCUCAACCUUGUCAUUUUUCAUGACAAGGCUUGGACUUGGGGGUUUUUUGCAGGCUUCAACCCAAUGAAGUUGGCUCCCCUUAAACGCAUUAGCCGGAAAACUCUGCGUCUAUUGGUGUGAUAAUUAUCUACAUCGUGGACAGGCAGUAAUGGGUUUUCUGCUUCGAACCGUCCUUAGGGACAUCAAAUGACCAUCUGACCUCAAAUCAGGUAGGACUACCCGCUGAACUUAAGCAUAUCAAUAAGCGGAGGA
rnacentral:rRNA from 1 species